UACGGGGGGUGCAAGCGUUAUCCGGAUUCACUGGGUUUAAAGGGUGCGUAGGAGGGCAGGUAAGUCAGUGGUGAAAUCCCCGAGCUUAACUUGGGAACUGCCGUUGAUACUAUCUGUCUUGAAUACCGUGGAGGUGAGCGGAAUAUGUCAUGUAGCGGUGAAAUGCUUAGAUAUGACAUAGAACACCAAUUGCGAAGGCAGCUCGCUACACGAAUAUUGACUCUGAGGCACGAAAGCGUGGGGAUCAAACAGG
rnacentral:rRNA from 1 species